AACGAACGCUGGCGGCAUGCCUAACACAUGCAAGUCGAACGAGACCUUCGGGUCUAGUGGCGCCCGGGUGCGUAACGCGUGGGAACCUGCCCUUAGGUUCGGAAUAACUCCCCGAAAGGGGUGCUAAUACCGGAUAAUGUCUUCGGCCCAAAGAUUUAUCGCCUUUGGAUGGGCCCGCGUUGGAUUAGCUAGUUGGUAGGGUAAAAGCCUACCAAGGCGACGAUCCAUAGCUGGUCUGAGAGGAUGAUCAGCCACACUGGGACUGAGACACGGCCCAGACUCCUGCGGGAGGCAGCAGUGGGGAAUAUUGGACAAUGGGCGAAAGCCUGAUCCAGCAAUGCCGCGUGAGUGAUGAAGGCCUGAGGGUUGUAAAGCUCUUUUACCCGGGAUGAUAAUGGCAGUACCGGGAGAAUAAGCUCCGGCUAACUCCGUG
rnacentral:rRNA from 1 species